AGCUCUUUUGUAACAACAGCGGCUUUAAGUGUUGCAAAACUGGCUGAAAAGUGUCCUGGGACAUCCACGAGACUUCUGUGGGUAAAUAUAGAGGAGGAGGAGGGUGUUGAAGACUAUCUCAUGGUUUACAGAAAGAAGGCAAGCAGAAAGAAGACAAAGGUUCUUGGGGGACUGCAAUGUGAGUCCAACAUGGCUCACUACCAGCUCAGGAAACAGGCAGAAUGGAUGAUGAAGUGAAGAGAUGCUCAUCUUUCACUCCUCGCUAAAGGACCAAAUGCUACUCUUUCCAGGGAAUCAAAUACAUGCCCCCUGGGAGAGGCAAUGUUUCCGGACUGCUAAUGUCACAGCAUGACCUGUUAAUAACCUGAGAGAGACUUCCUCCAAUCCACCGCCUCCCGCUCCCCCAGGAGCCAGCAGCUGCAGUCACAUGGAUCGAAUGCCUGCCUUGUGUGUGGUUCAUUGAGAAAAAUCCAAGCAUGUGGCCUGAGGUUCCCCUGAUGACUGUCUGGGGAUGAUGAUUUCUACCAUCUGUUCUGGCUGCCUGCAGCUCCCGGAAACACCGAGGUGUAUGUUGCUUCUGGCCAUACGUGGGAUUCCUAAUGAAACCUCAGCUGCUGUCCAACUGUCUACGAAUAUCAGAUGUGUUUGAAUUAUCUUUCCGCCAAGAGGGGAGGGAGAAGCACUUUGUUUAACUCUUUAAUCCAAACCACUACACAGCGCAUGCAUAAUCACAGGGUAUAAAGCUGCAGAAUUAUUAGCAUCUGCAUCCCGGUGGCAGCUGUAGCGCUCGCACAUGUGUCGGGUCUGUCGGAUUCAGACUAUCUGAGCUGGCUGUUUUCAGGCUAAAUAUACAGCCUUGAGUCAAAUCCAUCUUAUUGUAGCUCACUUGGAAGCCCUGUAAUUAUAGUAGAGAUCUGUUUGAUCUCUUCACUUCUGACUUGUAUUAAGGCACAUUUCAGCUGCAUAAAUUGUAUAUUGGUAUAUAACAAAAGGCUUCUUAUCAAGUGGUUUAAAUGCAGUUGAGGAAUAGCAGCAGUUUCAAAGCCAUUUAUUGAGACAGAGGAAGUCACAUGCAAUUGAUAUUAAUCUUGGUAUAUGAAAGAGACAUGCAAUUGAUAUUAAUCUUGGUAUAUGAAAGAGACUUUCAUGUAAAAAACCUUGAUAACUAAUAUGUAGAAAUAAUUUGUCUUUCAUGAUUUGACAUCCUGCCUGUUAUUUUUCAUAUUUUUGAAUACAAAAAUAUUUUUAUAUUUGUCAUACAUAUAAAAAUAUUUCUCUAAUUUAUCAUUUAAAAACUUUUUCUUGCCAUUUGCUGAGUAUCAAAUUUCAGUGGACAUUUAAGGGCACAAAACUGCUUAGAGGACCAGUAGAAAGGAUUUGACUUUCCUUCUUGUUAGAAUUACAUAGACUUCAUCCACUGAGAUUCAUUCUGCUUUCUCCAUUGAUACUCAUACUAUUUUCUUUGAAUGAAUAGAUGAUCUCAUUAACAAAUCCAUUGAGUUUUAUGUGGUUGGAAAAUAUUGUUUACAUUGUUAGUGCUGGAGGACUGAAGAUAUUGAAUGGAUCAGGAUCAACUGUUUAUAUUUCUUGCAGUUGUAGUUCAGGGAGGGAAAAAUAUGAGAUUUUUCUGUGACUUUGAAGCAGAAAAGGAAAGGAGAAGGAAGCAGUUACCCAGCAGCAGGCAGCAGUAAUAGCCUUGGGCUUUUGGUAAGGGAAGAAUAUCAACGCAUGGUACUGUAUGUUUCAUGUUUUCAGAUUCAAAUUAAAUAUUUCGGUAGCAUGACCUCAUCCACCUAUUUUUAGAGGCUGUUUUUCUACUAAUAUUUUUGAUGCUAAUCAAAGAAUGCAAAAAAAUAAUCUUAGCAGUGGCUUGUUGAGGAUGUUUUUUUUUUUUUUUUGUUUGUUUGUUUUGUUUUUUUUUUUUUAGCUUAUCAUGUUAUGUUAUGAGAUCCAACAGAAAUCUGCAAAUGCAUUCAUCAGCUAUUGCAUAGGAAUGGGGGUGGGAGUUGGGGAUCCCACCAUUUCUGGCAAUCCUUUAUCUGGUCAAUUAACUCUUUUCAGAUAUGUGCAUAUAUCUCUUACAUAUGCAUACUGUCAGAAAUCAACAUCAGAGCAGAAUGCUUAAAAGCAGAUAUAAGGAGAAAAUUUAAUAAUGCUUAGAAAAAAUAUGCCUAGUUCUGAAUUUUUGAUUUAUUGAUCUUAAAACACACACACACACAAACGCACACACAAACAAAACAAAACAAAACAAACAAAGAAACAAAAAAAUUAUGUAUGGAAAACAUUUAUCAUCUCCAACCUGGAAUGACCCCAGUAAUCACCUCUGCCGUCAUUUUUAUUUUUUUUUUUAUAGCAACAAAGAACUGCUGAUUUUUUGAAAACAUAAGGUAGUUAGGCAAGGCAAGCAAACACGGGUGGUUUGUUUAUAAUAUAAAGGUUUUCUAGGACUUUUUUUCUUUCUGUAUUACAUAUUCAGGAAAAUGUAACUGUGCUAACAGUGGUUAGCAGAAAAAUAAACUAAAAUAAAAUAAAAAUAAAAAGGA